rnacentral:snRNA from 1 species
CUGCUUAAGCAGUACAAAUACUAAUAUUGGCACAAUUCGGAAGAUAAGCAUGGCCCCUCCACAGGGAUGACACACAAAUUCAUGAAAUAUUCCAUAUAAAU